CCUGAUGACAAUAGCAGUCUGGAACCACUCCUUCCCAUCCCGAACAGGACAGUGAAACGGA
rnacentral:rRNA from 3 species